rnacentral:rRNA from 1 species
GACAGAGGUGCCAAGCGUUAGGCGGAAUCACUGGGCUUAAAGCGUGUGUAGGCGGAUCGUUAAGUACCUUGUGAAAUCCCACGGCUCAACCGUGGAACUGCUGGGUAUACUGGCGAUCUUGAGCCACCUAGGGGCGAGCGGAACAAGCGGUGGAGCGGUGAAAUGCGUAGAUAUCGCUUGGAACGCCAACGGUGAAAACAGCUCGCUGGGGGUGUGACUGACGCUGAGACACGAAAGCCAGGGGAGCGAACGGG